GAUGAACGCUGGCGGCGUGCCUAAUACAUGCAAGUCGAGCGAACGGACGAGAAGCUUGCUUCUCUGAUGUUAGCGGCGGACGGGUGAGUAACACGUGGAUAACCUACCUAUAAGACUGGGAUAACUUCGGGAAACCGGAGCUAAUACCGGAUAAUAUUUUGAACCGCAUGGUUCAAAAGUGAGAGACGGUCUUGCUGUCACUUAUAGAUGGAUCCGCGCUGCAUUAGCUAGUUGGUAAGGUAACGGCUUACCAAGGCAACGAUGCAUAGCCGACCUGAGAGGGUGAUCGGCCACACUGGAACUGAGACACGGUCCAGACUCCUACGGGAGGCAGCAGUAGGGAAUCUUCUGCAAUGGGCGAAAGCCUGACGGAGCAACGCCGCGUGAGUGAUGAAGGUCUUCGGAUCGUAAAACUCUGUUAUUAGGGAAGAACAUAUGUGUAAGUAACUGUGCACAUCUUGACGGUACCUAAUCAGAAAGCCACGGCUAACUACGUG
rnacentral:rRNA from 1 species